rnacentral:rRNA from 1 species
UUACCUACCCUUGACAUGUCCGGAACUUGCCAGAGAUGGCUUGGUGCCCGAAAGGGAAUCGGAACACAGGUGCUGCAUGGCUGUCGUCAGCUCGUGUCGUGAGAUGUUGGGUUAAGUCCCGCAACGAGCGCAACCCUUAUCAUUAGUUGCUACGCAAGGGCACUCUAAUGAGACUGCCGGUGACAACCGGAGGAAGGUGGGGAUGACGUCAAGUCCUCAUGGCCCUUAUGGGUAGGGCUUCACACGUCAUACAAUGGUCGGUACAGAGGGUUGCCAAGCCGCGAGGCGGAGCCAAUCCCACAAAGCCGAUCGUAGUCCGGAUUGUUCUCUGCAACUCGAGAGCAUGAAGUCGGAAUCGCUAGUAAUCGCAGGUCAGCAUACUGCGGUGAAUACGUUCCCGGGUCUU